AGUCAACACUAGCACAACAGCACGAGAAAUACAAUCAACGAAAAACAACUCAACAACCAGAAUAACUUUUGCACAACUUCAAUAACACGCCAACAAAACUCGCUCUCCUCCCUACGCCCGUUGAUGUCUUUUUAAAGGUCGCCCUGGAAUACUUCCUCCAAUCCCAGGGCACGUCGUCUACGUAAUUAGGGCGGGGCCUGCAGGUGGAAAGAGGGAGAGAGAGAGAAACAAACACACACACAAACAAACACACCUGCCAACGCAACACCCCCACCCAUUUAAGUCAAAAAGUUUAAUUCUUUUUGACAAUUAACACCAGAAAACAAACAAACACAUAUCAAGCCCUUGAAAGGGCAUCGGCAAUAACGUUUUCUGUACCCUUCUUGUGGCGGAUGUCAAUGUUAAAACCUUGCACUACUAAUGACCACCUCAUUAGUCUCUGAUUGGAGUUGGCCAUGCGCUGGAGAAAAACCAGAGGGUUGUGGUCAGUGUAAAUCACGACAGGUAAGUUGCUACCACCCACGUAAAUUUCAAAGUGCUGGAGGGCAAGAAGUAACGCUAGGGCCUCUUUCUCGAUUGUGCUGUAACGCUGUUGUGUUUUUGAAAAUUUCUUUGAGAAAUAGCACACAGGAUGAUCAACUCCAUUUUCACCCUCUUGGAGCAGCACUGCCCCAGCUCCCAAUGCACUGGCAUCAACUUCUAUUUUAAAGGGGUGAGUAAAGUCAGGGGCAGAGAGAACUGGGGCACUGCACAGAAGGUCUUUAGCUGCACUGAAAGCUGAAUCACACUUUUGAUCCCACACAAAAUCUUUGGACCCACUUAACAGGUCAGUGAGAGGGGAAACAACGGAGGAAAAGUUUUUACAGAAACUCCUGUAAUAGCCCACCAUACCGAGGAACCGACGUAAUUCUCGUUUGGUGGUGGGGGCGGGGAAAUGAACAAUAGCCUCCACUUUGGCUUCGAUCGGGCGCACCUGUCCUUGUCCGACCUGCUUACCCAAAAUCUGUACGAGCCGUCCGGCUUGGAGACGAGCAAACACGGCGAGCUCCACGGGCUGCUGCUGGGUAUCACCAAACCGUUCGCCAGCAGGUAAUCUACCUCCUUCCUCAUCUCCUCUCUCUUUACAGGGUUAAGUCUGUACGGGUGUUGUUUUAGAGGUGGCGAAUUAAUAAUUUCAAUAUCAUGAAAUAAAACAUGAGUCUGACUUGGCACAUCUGAAAAGAGAGAGGAGAAUUCACAGAUCAAGGAAACGACAUCCCUGCGCUGUGAAUUAGGGAGGUAUGCCAAUUGGUUUUCAAUGUCAUUUAAAAAUUCCGAAUUGCACAAUUUCGGUGGCGUGGUCAUUAUUUCUGAAACCCUCAACCCGUCCUCCUCAGAAUCCACAACAGGAGACGGAGGAGCGCACGCCAACACUGGCGCUGUUUCAGAAAGAGGCUUAUCUGUGGCGGUUCUAUCCACGGCCCUGAGAAGCGAGCAUGGAGUGCAGAGCCUGGCAGCGGAAGAAAAACCAGCACCAAAUCUCCUGGUUGAAAGCUUCGCGCAACAGCCUUUCUGUCAAAUAAUUUUUUCAUGUGAGCUUGUUUGGAUGACAAAUUUAUUUUUGCCAUUUCCCACACACGAUUUAAACGCUCACGCAUUUGAGUCACGUACUCACAAACGUUAACUGGAGAUUUCUUCUCCGAUAACAGCUGCUCUCUCAACAGCUUUAGGGGUCCGCGGACGGAGAACCCGAAAAUUAACUCAGCAGGGCUGUAUCCUACAGAUUCCUGUACUGUCUCGCGAAUGGCAAACAUCAGCAUCGGCAACCCCUCAUCCCAGUCCUUCCCCGUUUCCACACAGAACGCGCGCAGCAUGGACUUAAGGGUCUGGUGGAAACGUUCCAGCGCGCCCUGCGACUCGGGAUGAUAGGCGCUCGAUAGCUGGUGUUUGAUGGCAAGCUCACUGAGAACCUGAGUGAACAGUGCUGAGGUAAAGUUUGAACCUUGAUCAGUCUGUAUUAUUUUUGGUAACCCGAAUAUGGAACAAAACUUAAUGAUUUCUUUAACAACAGCUUUCGCUUUGAUGCUGCGCAUUGGGACAGCCUCUGGGAAGCGCGUCGCAGCGCACAUCAAAGUGAGUAUGUACUGAUAUCCGGAUUUAGAUUUUGGCAGCGGUCCUACACAAUCAAUAAUAAUUCUCUCGAAUGGUUCACCUAUCACCGGUAUUGGACAAAGGGGAGCAGGAGGAAUAAUUUGAUUUGGUUUGCCAGCCAACUGACAAACGUGACAUGAGCGGCAGUAAUUUACUACAUCUGUUUUUAGACCAGGCCAAAAAAAAUAACGCAAAACGCGAUCGUAAGUUUUCCGAAUGCCCAGAUGGCCAGAAAGUAUAUGAUCAUGCGCUAGUUCUAAUAUUUGUGAGCGGUAACCAGUGGGAACAACCACCUGACGAACAAUUUCGCCGUCUUCCCACUGUCGCAUUAAAGUGUCAUCUUCAAUGAAAUAUGUUACCUUUUUAUUGGGUGCUUUUGCUUUGUCUGUCACAGCCGAAAAGCAGGUCACUAAAGAAGGGUCAGCCUUUUGUACAGCAGCCAAUUGUGAACGUCCCGUUUGUAAAGUCGUGUCACCUAUGGGAGACACAGGCUUUACAAACAGCCUCCCGGUUAGUGCUGAAAAAAAGGAAUCAGACACGUCAAUCACGUCUUCAAAUUUGCGUGCUUGCGCACGAGUUACGACACACAAGGGAAAUGCAUCUGGAAAUUUAGUUAACAGAUCGUCAGAUUCAUCUGUUAAUGGUUGGUUAACCACAAUUGGGGGAGGGAAAACUAUGCCACCAGCUAAGUCAUUUCCCAAUAUAAAAUCUACUCCUUCCACUGGAAGUUCAGAGCAGACCCCAACACACACCUGUCCAAUAACUACAUCUGUUUUAAGGAAUAGGCUGUGUAAAGGAACCUUUACACAGCCUUUUCCUAUACCACGCAGAAUUACGUCAGCACCUGUGUAGGUUUCUGGAGUCAGAGGAAUAGUGCCAGCCAGCAGAAGACUUUGGGCUGCUCCCGUGUCCCUCAACACAGACACUGAUUUGGGCCUCACAAUCAGCUAUGAGAUGACCAGCGUCCAAGCAAUAAAAACACACUCUGCCCUCACCAGAACGCUGCUGAGCGCCCCUGCGCACCCCAAAAGCUCCUCCCCUGCCUGGUUUCGCAACACCCGUCCAGCCCUUUACCUGCCCUUCAGCACCCUGAACAGCAACCCUGUCAUAAUUCAUUGGUGAAAAGACUGUACGGUGUGUUAAAAUGAAUUCGUCCGCCAGCACGGCGGCUGCAGAGAGAGACUUAACCUUCUGCUCGUUUAGGUGCACAACUAAACUUUCAGAAACACUGCUUUUAAAGUCUUCCAAUAAAACUAGUUCUUUUAAAGCUUCAAAUGUAGUAGUUUUACUGGCAGCGCACCACUUUUCAAAAAGGUUCUGUUUCUCUCUGGCGAAUUCCACGAAAGUUUGUUUGUCUGCUUUCUUAUGGGCUCUAAAUUUUUGUCUAUAUGCCUCCGGAACUAACUCAUAAGCACGAAGAACAGAUUGCUUCACCACGUCGUAAUUUAGACUCUGUUCAAUCGGUAGCGCAGAACAAACCUCUUGUGCUUUCCCCAUAAGCUUACACUGCAGUAACAGAGCCCACAUUUCCUUCGGCCACUGCAGUGUAGCGGCAACCCGCUCAAACGCGGUAAAAUAGCUGUCCACUUCAGCUUCACGGAAAGGAGGCACUAAAUUAAUGUGUCGGCUCACAUCAAAAAUUGGAGCGUUAGGCACAUCGGGAGUUGAAACUGGAGUGGAAGUGGCUGGCAAAGGGGCGGCGGGUAAUCGAGCGAACGAAGGAAAAGCAGGAGAACCUUCCAGUGGAUCCUCAGCCGGGGGAGACCGGCCGUGAUCCACUCGAAGCCGCUCUCUCUCUAACUCCAGCUCCAGCUCUCUUAACCUCAGCCUCUUCGCCACGCUCUCUUCCUGUUUGAUUCGUAAAUCCAAUUCUUUUGACUUUAACACAAAUAACGGGUCCGAAUUUGGUAAACUACCUGGUGGUGCAAAUAUUGGUGACUUGAAAAGCGGAGAUAAAGGUGGCGGAGUCGAGAGCCCCUCGUCGGCCUUCGACGGCGAAGACGUUCCCAUUUCGACGCCACCUGCCUCCGACAGAUCAGGCAAUAUACGUAGUAAAACCAAUUCUUUAUAAAGCACAUCUUUUAAUUCUUUUUUUGAAGCCUUAUGCGGCACCACAAUUUUAAAGAACUCUGCAAUUUUAAAGAAGUCAUCCUUACGGCAGCGAUCAAACUGUUCCGUGCUCGGAGAAAGUGCGAAGGCAGUCAAAUCAAAAUCCAUGUCAACACUAUUCGCUACUCCUUUCCACACCAAAAAGAAAGCAGCCAAACAAAGAAUAAAUUGAAAUGACUUACCCACUGCGCGUCCACAAGAAGGAUUCAAAAUAAACGUUUUUGCUGUACAAAAACAAAUGACGAGCCCCCACUUUAUGUUACGACCCUGGUCUAGGGUCAAAGCCGCAACAUAAAAGAACACCCGACAAAUAAAAUUCACUUUUAAUAA